rnacentral:rRNA from 1 species
UCUCGCCUGUUUUACAAAAACAUGUCUUAAUGUUAUAUUUUAUUAAGUCAGGCCUGCUCAAUGAUGUUUUAAAUAGCCGCAGUAUAUUGACUGUGCGAAGGUAGCAUAAUCAUUUGUCUUUUAAUUGGAGGCUUGUAUGAAUGGUUUGAUGAGAGAGCUACUUUCUUUAUAUUAUUUAAUUGAAUUUAAUUUUUGAGUUAAAAAGCUCAAAUUUUUAAGUGGGACGAGAAGACCCUAUAGAAUUUUAUUUAUAGAAUAGUUUCAUUAGUUAGGUAAAUUUACUUUUGAGGAGAUUUUAUGAAUUUUGUUGGGGUGACAGUGAGAUUUGCAAAACUCUCAUAAUUUAUAUUUUAUUAAUUUUUAUGUUAAAGAUCCCUUAUUAGGGAUAAUUAGAUUAAAUUACCUUAGGGAUAACAGCGUAAUUUUUUUGGAGAGUUCUUAUCGAUGAAGGAGUUUGCGACCUCGAUGUUGGAUUAAAAUUAGGUUUAAGUGUAGCAGCUUAAUUUCUAGGUCUGUUCGACCUUUAAUAUUUUACAUGAUCUAGUUUCCAACCGGGA